rnacentral:rRNA from 1 species
UACGAAGGGGGCUAGCGUUGUUCGGAAUCACUGGGCGUAAAGGGUUUGUAGGUGGCUUGUUAAGUCAGACGUGAAAUCCCUCAGCUUAACUGGGGAACUGCGUCUGAUACUGAUGAGCUUGAGUGCAGGAGAGGAACGCGGAAUUCCAGGUGUAGCGGUGAAAUGCGUAGAUAUCUGGAGGAACACCGGUGGCGAAGGCGGCGUUCUGGACUGCAACUGACACUGAGAAACGAAAGCCAGGGGAGCAAACGGG